rnacentral:rRNA from 1 species
CCCUUAGAUGUUCUGGGCCGCACGCGUGCUACACUGAGUGGAUCAGCGGGUCAGGUUGCGCGAAAGCGUUUCCUAAUCUUUAAAUCCGCUCGUGAUGGGGAUUGACGGUUGCAAUUUUCUGUCAUGAACGAGGAAUACCUUGUAAGCGCGGGUCAUCAUCCCGCGCUGAAUACGUCCCUGCCCUUUGUACACACCGCCCGUCGCUCCUACCGAUUGAGCGGUCCGGUGAGGCUUUGGGAUCUGAGCGGAAAGAGCGUUUCGCUGUUUCUGCUCGGAAAACUCAGUCGAACCUUAUCAUUUAGAGGAAGGAGAAGUCGUAACA